ACGGCGUGAAAACGGAAACAAGUAUGCCGGCUCACUGUGCUGCAUACAGUUACACACUACGUCGUGCGAUUGAGACAAGGAAACUUGGAAUGACUUUUCAUAGGUUUCCCAGAGACUAUGGGUUGAGGAGGAAUUGGAAGUUUGUCGGCUUAGACCUGGUGUCAUUCCAUCAGUGUUAAACUUCCCGGUUCAUCUUGGAAGAGUACGUGCCAGAAAGACCACGACCAAGCAGCCUUGAGAUCUUAGGCAGCGUCUCCCUGAGGUCCCUCUCUAUCUCCCCACACAUCCACCAACCACUGGAACACAUCUCCAAAGUUCUGCCGGGCCAGCUCAGCUUCCCCUCAGAAGAAGUGCCGCCACCUGCCAGAUGAAGGAGCCUUUUGAGAGGCAGCUGGCAUCGUGAUUGGACUGUACUUUGGUCUGUUCCAAUCCAGCUUCAGCUCCAGAGACGGCAGGCGGGACGAGUCAACGGAGGCCGGGUGGACGAAGGCAUGCAGCUGAGUACAAUCCAGAAAACAACAGAGGAGGAGUGCAGCAUCCCAGGGCCAGAACAGGCAGAGUAGCAUCGUAUGUCUCUUAGAAAACAUCAUAGUAUAGCCUUUGCUAUGAAAAAACACCAUCAUAUACAUUGUAUAUUGUACAAAUAACAAGUCAAAGGAAAGAGACAUACAUUGUAGAAUUGUAGUAAUUGUGGGCUGACUGAUUUACUGAUUAUCAGUAUUUUAUUUUUUACUGAUUUACGGUAAUAAAUACAUUUAAAAAUGG
ensembl:lncRNA